UCAACUCACAGGAACGCUUCCUCCAAACAUUAGCUCACUCUCCAACUUGGAGUGGUUUUAUGCAUAUGACAACGAUAUAGUUGGAACCAUUCCUUCUUCUCUCUUCACCAUUCCUUCUUUGACACAAAUUGAUUUGUCAAAUAACCAACUGAACGGCAUUCAUGAGUUUGGGAAUAUACCUUCACCAACAAAGCUAGUGAGGUUAGAGCUUGGCGGUAACAACUUGAGAGGGCCAAUCCCGAGAUCCAUUUCCAAAUUAGUCAACCUCUAUUACCUUGACCUUUCCAAUUGGAACACCCAAUUAGGCCCAAUUGACUUGAGUAUCUUCUCGCAUCUCAAGUCACUCCGAUUUCUUGGCUUAUCCCAUUUGAACACCACCACUACGAUUGACUUGAAUGCCAUCUUAUCAUUUUUCCAGUCGCUUGGAUCAUUGGAUCUCUCAGGGAAUCAUGUUUCAGCCGAAAACAAGAGCUCAGUUUCAGAUCCUCCUUCGCAAAUGAUUAGUUCUUUAAACUUGUCAGGCUGCGGUAUUACCGAAUUUCCAGAGAUCAUAAGAACCCAACAGUCUAUGAGAUUUCUAGACAUUUCCAACAACAAAAUCAAAGGUCAAGUGCCUGGCUGGUUAUGGACGCUACCAGAUCUGGAGUACGUGGAUCUUUCCAACAACACUUUCGUCAGUUUCGAAAGACCAACGAAACAUGGACUAUCCUCUGCCUUUAUGUACUUGUUUGGCUCCAAAAACAAGUCUAAGGUCCCUUGACGUUGGUCAUAACCAACUGGUGGGAAAGCUUCCAAGAUCUUUGAUCCAUUUCUCUGCCCUUGAAGUUCUUAAUGUGGAAAGAAACAGAAUCAACGACACGUUUCCGUUCUGGUUGAGUUCUCUACAAAACCUGCAAGUUCUUGUCUUACGCUCCAAUGCAUUCCAUGGACCGAUUCAUCGAGCCUCCUUCCUUCAGCUCCUUCCUUCGCAUAAUCACUUCAACGGAACUUUGCCAUCGGACUAUUUUGUGAGCUGGAGUAAAAUGUCAUCACUUGGGACAGAGGAAGGUCGCUCAGAUCUAUACUACAUGGGAAAUGCAUAUUACGAAGAUUCAAUGGUCUUGAUGAAUAAAGGUGUACCAUUAGAGCUGGUACGUAUCCUUGAAAUCUACACAGCACUCGACUUCUCCGGAAACAGGCUUGAAGGAGAGAUUCCAAGCACCAUCGGCCUAUUGAAAGAGCUUCAUGUGCUCAACUUGUCAAACAAUGCUUUCACUGGCCACAUUCCAUCAUCUAUGGGUAACCUGACAGCUCUCGAGUCACUUGACGUUUCUCAAAACAAGCUUUCAGGAGUGAUCCCACAAGAGCUAGGGAAUCUCUCGUACCUUGAAGUCAUGAACUUCUCCCAUAACGCAGCCUUGCUCUUCCUUCGAAGACAACCCUGGACUUUUUGGCCCUUCUCUUGACGAAGUUUGCAAAGAUAUACACAAGACAUCAUCGCAAGAGAAUGAAACACCGGAGGAGGCAGAGGAAGAAGACGAAGAGGUGUUUAGUUGGAUUGCAGCUGCAAUAGGAUUUGGACCAGGCAUUGUAUUAGGACUGACGAUUGGAUACAUAUUGGCCUUCUACAAACCGAGGUGGUUCACGAGUCCUUUUGGCCGAAACAAACACAGAAGCAGAAGCACCACAGCUCAUUAAGAGAGGUAAUCUUCUGAAUUUCAUAGAUUAAAGACUAUGUAUAAUAUAACGAAAGUUUCUGGGUUAAUGUAUACUGUAUGUGAAAAUUAACUUUUUACGCCGUUUUUGUUUGUAUAGCGUUCUUAAACCCAAGAUGAAGAAUCUUUGAAAAACAGAAUGAAGCAACCAGACCAUAAGUAGAGAAGAAGCUUGGGGGAGAAGGCAACUCAUUUUAUCAAAGUCUAAAUAUCAGUGAUCGUUUCCGGUUUAGUUUGGUGUGUUUAUCAUAUACUCUGUUUUUAGCCAAUGUUUGUGUUUCUCUGUAAUUGAACAAUGAAAGAAUGUUUACAAAGCUCAAACUUAUUCCCAUUUCUCUGUGAUUGGACAUGAUUUGAGAGAGGUAAUAAUGUUCUUGCUCCGAAUAAAUCAAUCAUUCUUCUGCCAAAUGAAGAACUAAGAUUCAACACACAUCUCAGAAAAUUGAUCCUUUUUCUCUUUUGGUAAUAUUAAUUAGCUGAGUAAAAUGAUAACUUAAUUAGUUUAUUGAAAGAUAUUUCACUGAGAAAUAUAUUAGUUAGUGGCGAUCAGGAUCAGCGACCAAUUAAAGCUAUAGAUAUAGUUGCUUAAAACCCAAGCUUUGCCAUUACAAUGAGGAAAAAUCAUCUCACAAAUCAUUCCACUUUCCAACUAAUGAAACUCUACAAUAGUCAAAUGACUCAAAUCGGAAUUAGAAAGUAUACAUACACACAUAAUUUAAGGUCACAAUGACAAAAUCUUCGGUCUUACCAAUAAGAGUAUAAGUAUUCAUCAAAAGACAUCUUCUAAAAUGGAUUAUAUUAAAAAAAUUUGGUGAAAACAAACAAGAAAUUUUUACUGCUUAAUUCUUUUUGUUUUUAAAAACCAAAAGGUAAAUGGAAGUCGCUCUAAUUUUUACUUAUAAACCAAAACAAGAAAUUUUCAGUUAUAUCGUUCUAAGAUAAUGCAAUUGAUAGUAUAAUCUAUACUACUCUAUACUCCACUGAUACUUUUUCGUUUUUAAGCAGACAACUUUUCAGAGUACAAAUCUUUUGUUAUUUUUAUUCCUGGGAGAUGUAUAUCCUAUAAACAAAACUGUGUUAAAUGGAAGGACUUCAUGGACACCAAAACCAGAGGAGAAACGAAGACAGACGGUUUAGAAAUAUUUUGAUCACAUCAAAAAAAUAUAAUUCGAUAAUUUUUAUCAGAUUACAGCAUCACAAAGUCAGUGCAAAAUCAUAUAAAAAAAAUUCGAAUAAAGAAAAAACGUAUCAUGCCAAACGAAACCAAACAAAUAAAUAGAUAACAGUUGACUGACCGAGUCAGUCAUGGACAAAAACGAAGACUUGAAAAGUCAACUCCGGUCUUCUUCCUUAUUGUCCCACCAAUAAUUUACUUUUUUUCCUUCAAUCUCAUCUUCUUCCUCAAUCCUCUCAACAUCGAUCACAUAUUUCUUCAUCCAUUGACCUCAAAAACUUGAUUUUCACUAUUGACUCUCUUUCUUUCUCUCUCUCUCUAGAUUUUCCAACAAAGCUAUGGAGAAACUCUGUUUUCGAAACUCAUUUUCUCGCUUUAUGACGACUGUGGUCAUUGUUCUUCUUCCUCGUUGCACUCUUUCUGCUACUUCUACAUAUUCUCAUCGUCCCGAGAAGUUUUACGUCAACUGUGGGUCGGAUUCUAUUGUCACUUAUGGUGGUCGGACCUUCGUCGGAGAUAUGAUCUCCGGUGGUAACUCCGUUUCUUUCAACAGUAAAGGAACUGAAGCCAUCAACCAAUCAGGAUCAGGAAUCUAUGAAACGGUUAGGAUAUUCAGACGCCCUUCUUCUUACAAGUUCCAACUCGAUUCCAUUGGUCUGCACUUCGUGCGUCUCCAUUUCUCUGCUGUCUCUUCUCGGACAGAGCUUUUAACUGCUCGUUUCACAGUCUCAGCUACUUCUCACCUGAAAAGUUUCUCGCUUCAGAAUUUCAAUGAGACCCCACGAGUUGAGGAGUUUCUCCUGAUGAUUGACUCGCCAGAAUUCGAAAUUCGAUUUGUGCCCUAUCAUUCAUCCAUGGCUUUUGUCAACGCCAUCGAAGUGUUCUCUGCUCCUAAUGACCUCGAAAUUCCGUCAGACUCCGACAAGAAUCUGCAUACGGUUUACAGAUUAAACGUAGGAGGCAAGAAUAUCACACCAGAAAACGACACCUUGGGAAGAACUUGGUCAGUUGACGAGGACUUCCUCUACGAAAAAGAUUCUGCGAGGAACAUUAAUUCAACACAAAAGCCUAACUACGAGUCAGGGACAGCGACGCCAUUCACUGCUCCUGAUUUUGUCUAUCAGACAGCGAAAACGAUGAACCAUAGCUCGAAUGAGGGGAUGGCAGAUGGGAUGUUGAUGAACGUUACUUGGUCAUUUAAGGUCAAUAGCAACUCUAGACACUUCAUCAGGGUUCACUUCUGUGAUAUCAAGAGUGAAUCACAAAAUCCCGACUCCGAUUUCUAUCUCUAUGUAAACGGACAAUCACGACUAGAUGUAAAGCCUUCAGAGCGUAUUAGGUUGGUGACUCCGUUUUUCAAAGAUGUGAAUGUCUCUGAUGGUUUUGGACUCUUGAAUGUUACAAUAGGUACUAAGGAUUCCACUAAGGAUGCUGGUUUUCUGAAUGGUCUGGAGGUGAUGGAGUUUUUGAAAAAGUCAGAUUCUUCAGAUAAAAGUAGUUUCCGGGUUUACAUCAUCGCUGGCUGUGUUGUUGCUGCAUCGGUUCUGGUAUUGAGUUUGUUGUUCACAGUUUUCUUGAAGCGGAGGAGAUCGAAGAAGGAGAAUAAGUCAGACGCUGAGGUCACUGAAUGGUCUCCUUUGCCAUUGUACAGAGGUGGUGGGAGUUCCGACAAUAGACCUUCUGAUCCGGUCAACAAUUCUCCAUUACGCAGCAAUAGAACUUUUGAUCCGGUCCAUAAUUCGCCAUUACGCAACCUAAACUUAGGCUUGACCAUUCCCUUCAUAGACAUUAUGAGAGCUACAAACAAUUUCGAUGAGCAGUGGUUGAUCGGGAGAGGCGGUUUUGGAGACGUUUACAAAGCCAUUCUUCAAGAUGGAAGCAAAGCGGCUAUCAAGAGAGGCAAGAGUGGUUCAGGACAAGGACUAUUGGAGUUUCAAACAGAGAUUCAAGUCCUGUCGAGAAUCCGGCACAGGCACCUCGUUUCUCUAACGGGUUACUGCGAAGAGAACUCGGAGAUGAUCCUUGUCUACGAGUUUAUGGAGAAAGGUACGCUUAAAGAGCAUCUAUACGGCUCGGAUUUGCCUUCACUGACAUGGAAACAGAGACUAGAGAUUUGCAUCGGAGCAGCUAGAGGUUUGCAUUAUCUCCACAGUGGCUCAGAAGGAGCAAUCAUUCACAGAGAUGUCAAAUCCACAAACAUACUACUAGACGAGAACACCGUAGCCAAAGUCGCGGAUUUCGGGCUCUCAAACUCGCGGUUCGUAAUCAAGAUCCAAUCAAUAUCAGCACUAACAUCAAAGGAACAUUCGGUUACCUCGAUCCUGAGUAUCUGCAGACACACAUCUUGACGGAGAAAUCAGAUGUUUACGCUUUCGGAGUCGUUCUCCUCGAGGUCCUGUGCGCGAGAUCGGCUCUCGAUCCUUCUCUUCCUCACGAGGAAGUGAAUCUAGCGGAGUGGGCGAUGUUCUGCAAAUCCAAAGGGAUAAUCGAUGAGAUCUUAGAUCCGAAAUUGAUAGGUCAGAUCGAGCCGAGUUCGUUGAGGAAAUACAUGGAAAUCGCGGAGAAGUGUUUGAAAGAGUACGGCGACGAGAGGCCGAGCAUGGGGGAUGUGAUCUGGGAUCUGGAGUAUGUUCUUCAGCUUCAGAUGAUGCCGAUUCGCAGAGAGCCUCACGAGGAUAGCGCCGCGACGAUCUCCGGCGGCGGAGGCGAAAGCUCGUUGGUGAUUCCGAGGUUGAUGGUGAGUGAUUCGUUUAGCUCAAACUCGAUUGUUCAGAAGAACGAAGGGAAGAGUAGCUAUGGAGGUACAGAUUCAUCGGAGAGUCGAGUUUUCUCCCAAUUGAAGAUCUCCGAAGCAAGAUAAAAUUUCCUAUGAAACAUUCUGAUUUGAAAAGCGUCUGGUUUAAAGCUUUUGAUAUUAAAAACCGGUUAUUGCCGGUUUAAAUAUAAUCAUUUUAAAACAUAUGCAAAGUAACGAGUCAAUUGAAUGUAAUAUAAAAUUAAAACCCGGUUAUCGUCGGUUUAAAGUUAAUUAUUCUAAGACAAAUGCUAAUUUCCGAAUCGAAAAACAAUUCAAUUUAAUUAACCGAUAAAAACCUAAUUUCAAGAAAAGUUCUGAUUUGAUAAGUGAUUGGUUUAAUUUUUGAAAUUGAAACCCGGUUCCUGCCGGUAUAACGACUCAGCUGUUUGUGAUGUCGGCGAUGAACGAGUCCAGAUUCCGAGCCGAUGAUCCACCAGACGCCAACGCCGAUCUCGCCGCGUGCUUCAGCUCCGUCACUCUCCUCCUCAUAUCCGCGGCGGCAGAUCCUUCCCUCACGGCCUCAAUACAUCUCUCCACCUCUUCAACCUUAAGCUCUCCGUCGACAGCGUCGUUCCUCAUCCUCACUCCGAUCCCGAACACAUCCACAAGCAAUCUCGCGUCAAGCGGCUGAUCAAUCCAGCUCGGGUACGCCACCACCGGAACACCAGUCACCACCGUCUCCAUCGUCGAGUUCCAUCCACAGUGCGUGACGAAACAAGAGAUCGCCACGUGACUCAGUAUCCACUCUUGUGGACCCCACUCAAUCACAAUACCUUGACCUUCUCUAACCAUCUCCUGCAAAACGUCGACGUUUUCGCCUUUCUCCUUUGGCCUAAUCACCCAGAGAAACGAAACUCCUCUGUUUCUCAGAGCCGUUGCUAUGCUCUUAACUUGAGUCUCCGAAGAUUUCAGCAAACUUCCAAAAGAAAUGUAAACAACCGAAGACCUAGCUUGCUUGUCAAGCCACUCCAUACAAUACUCAUCCGAUUUCCACAUAUCAAGAUUUUUACCAUCUAGGGUUUUGUCUUCUUCAUCAGCUCCCAACAGAAAUGGAGAAACCAGAGGACCAAUUGGGAUCAUGGGUUUUAAACCAGACAUCGAUUCGAUUAUCUCUGAUUCGAGCUCGUAGAACGAAUUAACCAAAACCCAUUUCACAUCUUUCAAGCAAUCGACGAACUCCACCAUUAGGCUAUUGAAAUGACUUCCUGAAGAAGGCAAGAGAAACGAAGGGAGAUCUCCAACUUCCAACAAUGGUAAACCUGGCAAUUCAACCGUUUGAUUCAAAUCUUCGAGAUUCUCAGGGAAAGCAUUCGUCUUCAUGUAGUAACGGUAAUAAACCGAGAAAGCUCCACAAGCUUCGAUCCAGAGGAUUGCACAGGGGAUGUUAUAUGCAGCUGCAACACUUGGAACCCAUGGAGCAAAAGGCACAGUGACGAUGCAAGAGAAUCUCUUUGAUUCGACGAUUUUAGACAAGUUCUUGGCUCCGACUUUUUUCAACGAUGGUAUGAGAGAAUCUGCGGCUCUUGUGUGGUCUUUAGGCAGACCGUCGGGGAAGAAAGCAAGGUCCACUGGGCUACGGUGAUGUUCUUCGGCGGCGGUGGUGGUGGAGAGGAGGUCACGGGUUUUCUCGGUGGUAGCGAGAGUGAAGCUAAGGUUUGGUCGUGAGAGAUGUUUGGCGAAUUUGAGCAUUGGAUUAAGAUGACCUUGAAAUGGUAGUGCUACCAAUAGAACAUGUGUUUCUUGACCCUCACUAUUUCUCAUUUCUGCUUUGUUUAGAGGUGUUACUUAUUAGACUUGAGUUGUGUAUGAGAUUGUGUGUAACUUGUAAUUGUGGUGGUAUAUAUAACAAUGGUUGCUUAACGAUAGAUUUUUGCUUAAAAUGAAGUUAUUAAGUGAGAUUUUGGUAAGAAAAAUCUAUAUAUAGUAAAAAUUGGUAACCCAAUAAAAUGUAAUAGAUUCAAAAGUUACCACGUUUAUUAGCACCCUGCGCCUUGUCCUUAACUCAAUUCAAAUCUUGUAUAAUUGUUGACCAAAAAAACACGAUAUAUAUACCAAUUCUAGUAUGGUUAAAGUCAACAGUCAUUACUAAUGAUUUAUGAAUCUUUUUGUAUAGUGUGACACUGAGAUCAUUGUAAUUUGUUAAUGACAAUCUAUAAACUGUAAUUGGUAAUCCAAUAAACGUUGGUCAAUAAAUUCAAAUUUAAUCAUGUGUUUCUAUGCUCUUGUAAAUAAAUAAAUAUAUGUUAUUUUCAAUUGUGUUAUGGUUAUGAUUAGAUUUAUAUAAAAAAUAUGGUUAUGAUUAGAUUUAUAUAAAAAAAAACAGGUCUCAAUUCAUUCGGAUCAGUCUCGUUUGUAUCUGUCUCACUUUUAGAUUUGAAAUCCGUUAAGCUCUAUUUAGUUUUUGGAACUAACAGAGUAAUCGGUUUAUACAUGCCAAAAUUCUUUUAAUCUAUUUAAAACCAUUUACGAUAUGAUGCUUAAACAUUCUUAAUAUUUAUUUUAAAUUAUAUAAACUAAGCUUUUGGAAGCUAAUCAGAAGCUAACACACCAGUAUAAUUACCAUUGUUUUUUUAUUAAAUAAUAAUUACCAAUGUUUCAAGGCAUGCUUGAAUAUUCCACUAAGAAAAAUCAUCGAAAUUGUUUAUACUAAUCUAAAAUCCUAGCAAAGGUGGGUGAAUCUUUUUUUUUAAAUAGUUAUACAUAUUUUCGAGAUGACAAAAUUUAACAAUAUGAUAAAAUCAUAUGAACACUCGAACAUUUAUGUAGAUUUUAGUUAUGUUAUAUAUCCAAGAAGAAAUGAAUAAUAUUAAGUAACAUCUAUUACAAAUAACAUAUCAAUUGGUAACAUCAGAUGGCAAAUCAAAUAACAUCAUUACGUAGUAAAUUCAUGUGCAUGCGUUACUAGCUAAGCUUGUAUUCACUUUAUAAAAGAAAAUACAAAAUAGCAAUAGCAAUAAUGAAGGGAAGAGCAGCUACGGAGGUACAGAUUCAUUGAUCGAAGAGUCGAGUUUUCUCCCAAUUGAAGAUCUCUGAAGCAAGAAAACAAAUAAUCUCUUGAAUCCUUCUGAUUUAAAUACCGACUGGUUUUAACUUUUGAUAAUAAAAUCCGGUUAUUGCCGGUUUAAAUAUAAACAUUUUUUUAAGUCGACAAAAAAAAACAUUUCAAAACAGAUGUAAAGUGAGUCAACACUAUGAUCGAUGACUUUCUAGUUGAUGAGAAACGUGCACAAAAAGAAAAGGGUAACACUAUGAUCGAUCACUUGCUUUCUCUCCAAGAAACUCAACCAGAUUAUUAUACGGAUGUCAUCGUCAAAGGACUCAUAGUUGUAAGUAUUGAGGAAUACAUUUAAUACAUCACUAACAACUAACAAGGCUAACUAAGCUUUUUAUAAUGACUAAUUCUUGACUUCUAUUUGGAUAGGUUAUGAUAUUUGCCGGAAAUGUAACAAGAACGUUAGAAUGGGCGAUGCUAAAUCUGUUGAACCAUCCAGAAGUACUAAAGAAAGCGAGGAUUGAAAUCGAUACAAACAUUGGUUUGGACAGGUUAAUAGAUGAACAGGAUGCGAAAAGUCUUCCUUACCUCCAAUGCAUCAUAUCAGAGAUUUUUCGACUUUACCCGGCAGCUCCUUUACUUGCUCCUCAUAGGGCUACAGAUGAUUGUAUAGUUGGAGGCUACGACUUCCCUCUUGGCACGACAUUAAUCGUGAACGUAUGGGCCGGCCAUUCACCGAGACCCAAACAUAUGGUAAGAGCCAGAAAAGUUCAAGUUAGAGCGGUUCGAGAAGAAAGGAGAAGAACAAAAGUUGAUGCCGUUUGGAAUGGGACGACGAGCUUGUCCCGGGUCUGGUCUAGCUCAACGGGUCGUGAGUUUGGCUCUCGGAUCGAUGAUUCAAUGUUUUGAAUGGGAGAGACUUGGAGAAGAAUAUGUUGACCUAAGCGAAGCAACCACAAUGCGUCCAACGACGCCGUUGCUAGCCAUGUGUAGAGCUUGUCCUAUUGUUCAUAAGAUUUUCAAUACUUCUUUUUGAGAUGUCACUCCCUUUUUAAAAAAUAUGUAUAUCCAUUUAUGUUAUAUCCAUUUUGAGAUGUAAUUAAAAUGAAAGACAAAGACUAGUCUUUGAUUUGCCUUAAGAUUUUCCAUUUUAUUAAAAUUCAAAAACUAUUUUUUUUUUUCAAAAACCAAAAUUUAGAAGUUAAAUGCUACUCCAUUAUCAAAUAAACUCACUUCUAAAUUUCUAUGAAUGAGGAGUAGUUUUUUACUUUGAGAAAGUGUGAAGAAAUUUUUCCAAUUUCUUAGUUUUUGUUUGUUUUUUUUUGAGAAAGGGUUAAGAAAAGGGAGCUUGUUUUAUAAUGGAAUCUCUCAUGCAAUUAUUCCCACCUGUCACUAGAGAUAUGUUCGUAACUUCGUAACGUCUCAUGCAAUUACUGACUAAUAAACAUGUGUGAUAAGUCACCAUUAAUAUUUAUUGUCUAUUUCUUUUGCUUUUAAUUAUUAGGGUUUUGAGUAGAAAUUUGUUUCUUUCUAAUAUUAUAGACAAUAUAUAUUGCUAGCGUUUACGUUUUUUAUUUUGGUUCAAAACAUAGUGGUUAAAAAUAAACAAAUCAUAAAUUUUUAUUAUUAGUCAUUAAUGAAUGAGAGACGUUACGAACAUAUCUUUAGUUUAUUAAAAAAAAAAAAAGAUAUCUUUAGUGACAGGUGUGAUAAUUGCAUGAGAGUUUUCAUUAUAAACUAAGCUACAUAAACUAAUAACUCCCACGUUCGAUUCAACACAUUUACAACAAGAAGAAGUUCUUGAUCUAAAAUGGAAACUUAUUUUCUUAUUUUAUCCCUCGCCAUCUUCUUUUUCAUUUCUCUUAAACUUUUGUUUAAUAAACCGCAUAACAAGUUUAACCUACCACCAAGUCCGGCGAGGCCACUACCGUUGAUUGGACACCUUCACCUCCUGAAGCAGCCUCUCCACCGCACAUUCCUAUCUUUCUCUCAAUCCCUCGGCAGUGCCCCAAUUUUCUCCCUCCGUCUUGGAAACCGUCUCGCGGUUGUCGUCUCCUCCUACUCCAUCGCAGAAGAAUGCUUCACGAAAAACGACAUCGUUUUGGCUAACCGACCAGAGUCCAUAGUCGGGAAAUACAUUGAGUACAACUUCACCACUGUGACCAGCGCGCCUUAUGGUGACCACUGGCGAAACUUGCGGCGUCUCAGCACCCUCGAGAUCUUCUCCUCGCACAAGCUCAAUGGCUUUAUAUCCGUCCGUAAGGACGAGAUCCGACACUUGCUACUUCGUCUCUCCAAAAACUCGCAACAUGUAUGUGAGCUUCUACAUAUUAGUACUCUAUGACUAUAUACAUUAUCAGAGUUUGUAACCUAGUAGUUUGUCUUAGUGUGGCCUCUAGGUCAUAACCUAUAUAUAUACAUUACUUGAAGAUCUGCUCAGAGUUUGUAACCUAGUAGUGUGGCCACUAAAUUAAAAGUCAUAACUUGAGUACCAUGCAACAAAAGUUUGAGAAUUAAUCAUUUGUUUAUUUGAUAAUAAAUUAGGGGUUUGCCAAGGUGGAGAUGAGAUCAUUGUUUAUGGAUUUGACUAUCAAUAACAUUCUCAGAAUGAUGGCUGGGAAAAGAUUUUAUGGUGAUGGAACAGAGCAAGACGACAAUGCACGGCGAGUGAGACAGCUUAUUGACGAGGUGGUAUCCUACGCCGGCGCCGGGAAUGCUACCGAUUAUAUCCCAAUCUUGCGUUGGAUCACAAGUUUUGAGAAACGGGUCAAGAACUUAGCGGGUCGGGUCGAUGAGUUCUUGCAGAGCCUGGUGGAUGAAAAACGUGCGGAUAAAGAAAAGGGCGACACUAUGAUGGAUCACUUGCUUUCUCUCCAAGAAAUCCAGCCUAAUUAUUACACAGAUAUCACUCUAAAGGGGAUUAUAGUUGUAAGUAUUUAUUUUCUACAUUUAUUAAUCUUGAAUAAUCUAUUUAAUAUAUAACAACACAAACUAAACAUUUGUUAAUUUAAUUUUUACAGGUUAUGAUACUUGCCGGAACUGAAACACUAACAGGAACAUUAGAAUGGGCUAUGUUGAAUUUGUUGAAUCAUCCAGAGGUAUUAACGAAAGUAAGAACCGAAAUCGAUACCAAAAUCGGUUUUGACCGGUUAAUAGAUGAACAAGAUAUUAAAAAGCUCCCUUAUCUCGAAGGGAUUGUGUUGGAGACCUUACGUCUCCACCCUGUAGCUCCUACACUUGUUCCACAUAUGACGUCAGAUGAUUGCAUGUUGGCCGGAUACGAUGUUCCAAGUGGAUCCAUGCUAUUGGUGAACGUAUGGGCCAUGCAUAGAGACCCGUCUCUAUGGGAAGAUCCAGAAAUGUUCAAGCCAGAGAGGUUCGAAAAUGAAAAUGAAAAUCAAAAGGUGUUGUCGUUUGGGAUUGGACGACGAUCAUGUCCCGGGGUUGGAUUAACUCAUCGGCUAGUGAGCUUGGCUCUUGGAUCGAUGGUUCAAUGUUUCGAAUGGGAGAGAAUUGGAGAAGAAUAUAUUGACACUAGAGAGGCACCUAUGAUGCGUCCAACUACCCCGUUGCAAGCCAUGUGUAAAACUUGUCCCAUUGUCCAUAAGAUUCUCGAUGCUUAUGCUUGAAUUGUAACUCUUCUUGGUUUGAUUUAUGUUCGGAAAUACUACAUCAACUUGUUUUGAGUUGGGAAAUAAUUCAAAAUCCUUCUAAGAACGCUCUCAUGCAAACUGUUGAAUGUAUCUUCAAGGUUCUGAUCACCAUCUAGCUGAGUCUUUACGGAAAAUUAGAUCGUCACUAAAUAUUAUCAUUUUACCUUCGAAUAUAUUGAUUUUGUUGCCCUGAUGAUACACUUGAAAUAAAUAAAAAACAACCAUAGAGACACUCAAAUAAAAAAAAAGCUCAUAGCUUUAAAAUUUCUUGUAUAUUUUGAAACUAAAAUUAAGCUAUAUUACUUAUACUGAUAUUCCAUUUCUUCACAGUAUGAUCUAAUGAUUUUUGCAAUCCUCUAUGCUUUUGUUGUUGCAAUUAUACUUAUAUCUCCAUUUCAUUACAGUAUGAUAUAUAUAUAUAUAUAUAUAUUGUAAGUUUUGCAAUCCUCUACAUAUCAUUCUUCCCACAGCUCUAUCUGAAAAUUCCAUAUAUAUGUUCAACUUAUCUCUCUUCGUGUGUUGUGAAUUGUGUAUUAGAUUUGAGUAUUACAUUUGUACUUUUACAAUUCUUUUUUUUUUUUAUAAUCUUGAAGUGCUCUAGGAAUUAUAAUUAUUAUAUCAUGUUGGAUUUUUAAGAAUUUUGGUUUUUAUGAUAUUUUGUAAAAAAUUAGAGAGUGAUGUGUUUCUAGGGACAAAAGACGAAGACUUGAAAAAUCAACCCUCGUCUUUUUCCUCAUCGUCCCAUUAGAAAUCUCAGUUUUCUCUUCAAUCUUAUCUUCUUCCUCAGAAUCCUCUUCACAUCGACCACAGGUUUCUUCAUCCAUCGACUUAUUGAAAUUUCUUGUAGUAUAAGUUAAACCAAAAUGUGUGGAAACUAUUCAACACAAAAGACUUUUCACUCUCUUCUUUCAACGUGAAUAACACUUCGUACGAAGGACUAAAUGGUGAGCCAAGCGAAGCUGAGUGGAUAUGGAGCACUGACUAUAUGUAUUUAAAGAGAUGGCAUGAAAACAAUUUAACCAUCACAAUUUCCAUUUGCUCGCUUCUUUUUCACUAUUGAUUUUCAAGAAAGUUAAAAAUUAGCUUAAAGAAAAAACGAAAGGCUCUUGAAACUCAAUGAGUACCAUUCAUAUUUCUCUUUCUUUUCUCCUCUUGUUCGUUUUUAGUUUUCAUGACGUGUUUGCUGCUCCUACUAGACACUUGUGUCGUCCGGAGCAAAGGGAUGCACUUCUCGAGUUCAAGAAUGAGUUUGAGAUUCGGAAGCCUUCUUUUGAGUGUUAUGUUAAUGGUAGCUAUGUGCGCCCUUACCCGAAGACGGAGUCAUGGGCAAAUAACACUGAUUGUUGUUAUUGGGAUGGGAUCAAGUGCGAUGCCAAAUCUGGGGAAGUGAUCGAGCUAGACCUCAGUUGCAGCUGUCUCUACGGCAAGUUUCGUUCCAAUACCAGUCUGUUUAGGCUUCACAGCUUUCGUUUUCUCACCACUUUAUACGUUUCAUAUAAUGAGUUACAUGGUCAAAUCCCGUUCUCAAUUGGAAAUCUUUCUCUUCUUACUUCUCUCGACCUUUCUUCCAAUGGGUUUUCGGGUCAGAUUCCAUCUUCAAUUGGAAAUCUAUCACUGCUUACCUUUCUGAGACUUUCUGAUAAUCAGUUUUCGGGUCAGAUUCCAUCUUCAAUUGGAAAUCUUUCACAGAUUACCACUCUCCGUUUUUCCUUUAAUCAGUUUUCGGGUCAGAUUCCGUCUUCAAUUGGAAAUCUUUCACUUCUUACCUCUCUUGAUCUUUCUUCCAAUCAGUUUUCGGGUGAGAUUCCAUCUUCAAUUGGAAAUCUUUCACUGCUUACCUCUCUCUAUCUUUCUUUCAAUCAGUUUUUGGGUCAGAUUCCAUCAUCAAUUGGAAAUCUUUCACUGCUCACCUCUCUCCAUCUUUCUUAUAAUGGGUUUUCGGGUGAGAUUCUAUCAUCAAUUGGAAAUCUUUCACUGCUCACCUCUCUUCAUCUUUCUUAUAAUGGGUUUUCGGGUGAGAUUCCAUCCUCAAUUAAAAAUCUUUCACAGCUCACCUUUCUCAAACUUUCUUCCAAUCAGUUUUCGGGUCAGAUUCCAUCUUCAAUUAAAAAGCUCUCUCAUCUCCAAACUCUUCACCUCAGAUAUAACAAAUUCACUGGUGAAAUCCCAGAUUCUUUUGCCAGUUUGAAAAAUUUGACCGAGUUAGAUGUUAGUUUCAAUAAGCUUAGUGGUAAUUUUCCAAUUUGGCUACUAAAUUUGACAAAGUUGUCGUAUUUAUCACUCGAAUACAAUCAACUCACAGGAACGCUUCCCUCAAACAUUAGCUCACUCUCCAACUUGCGAUAUUUUUGGGCACGUGACAAUGAUUUCGUUGGAACCAUUCCUUCUUCUCUCUUCACCAUUCCUUCUUUGACAAGAAUUUAUUUGUCAAAUAACCAACUCAACGGCACUCUUGAGUUUGGGAAUAUAUCUUCACCAACAAAGCUAGAGUGGUUAGAGCUUGGCGGUAACAACUUGAGAGGGCCAAUACCGAGAUCCAUUUCCAAAUUAGUCAACCUCCGGGGACUUUACCUUUCCAAUUGGAACACCCAAUUAGGCCCAAUUGACUUGAGUAUCUUCUCGCAUCUCAAGUCACUCGGAUUUCUUUACUUAUCCCAUUUGAACACCACCACCACGAUUGACUUGAAUGCCAUCUUAUCAUUUUUCAAGUCGCUCGAAGGAUUGGAUCUCUCAGGCAACCAUGUUUCAGCCGAAACCAAGAGCUCAGUUUCAGAUCCUCCUUCGCAAAUGAUACGAGAAUUAAACUUGUCAGGCUGCGGUAUUACCGAAUUUCCAGAGAUCAUAAGAACCCUGCAGUCUAUGGAGAGACUAGACAUUUCCGACAACAAAAUCAAAGGUCAAGUGCCUGGCUGGUUAUGGACUCCACCAAAUCUGACGUACGUGAAUCUUUCCAACAACACUUUCGUCAGUUUCGGAAGACCAACGAAACAUGGACUAUCCUCUGGCUUGUGGUACUUGUCUGGCUCCAGAAACAAUUUCACGGGAAAGAUUCCCUCCUUCAUAUGUGCGUUGGGCUCUCUAAGCGUUCUCGAUUUAUCUGAAAACAACUUCACGGGAAAGAUUCCCUCCUUCAUAUGCGCGUUGGGCUCUCUAAGCGUUCUCGAUUUAUCUGAAAACAACUUCAAUGGUUCAAUCCCUCUUUGUAUGGAGAAUCUCAAGAGUAAUCUUUCGGUUCUAAACCUCCGUCAGAAUCAUCUUAGCGGAGGCCUUCCGGAGAAUGUAUUUGAAAGUCUAAGGUCCCUUGACGUUGGUCAUAACCAACUGGUGGGAAAGCUUCAAAGAUCUUUGAUCCAUUUCUCUGCCCUUGAAGUUCUAAAUCUGGAAAGCAACAGAUUCAACGACAC
rnacentral:lncRNA from 1 species